rnacentral:misc_RNA from 1 species
GUGAAUCAUCAAAUUUUUGAACGCAAAUUGCACUUUUUGGUAUUCCGGAAAGUAUGUCUGUUUGAGGGUCAGUAAAAUAAAAAUCGGUGUUGUUGUUGCUUUUCGUGGUGACGCGUCGGAAUUGAGUUGUCUUACCUUCGGUUACGUGACUUAAAAUGUUGCAUGACCUUCGAACGUAUUUAAAUUUCGUACGUACGUUUGAGAUAUAGAAUACUUUAUUAGGUUCGGUCAUCCUCAUGAUUCGCACCUAUAAUUUUUCAUUAACUGACUUCACAUCAGUUAAGAAUA